rnacentral:lncRNA from 1 species
AGGCACUCCACAGCACAGUUGAGGCUGUCGUAAUUAUAAACCAUGACCAUAUUGCUGCAAAUUUUUCAUCAUUAUUGAAUUGUUUGAUUAUACAUAGUGAACAUUUGGCUAAUGAGUCCGUUCACGCCAAUGUUUCCUUUUGUUUCUCGAUUGCCUAACAUGUCUUACCCAUGGGUUUUCCGUAACCCCAUGUAAACGUGGAUGAGACAAAGCAGUCAAAUUGAGGAAAAUGUUGGAAACAAAACAGCCCAUGUGCAUUAGAUUUUACGUCUCCCUUAUUACCCCAAAAAUUCAGUGCUACAAGAAGAUUGUGUGCUGUGUCUGGGUCAAAAUCACUAAUAAUCUCCACAGCAUGUCACAACGGCAAGGCUUUUCAAGUACAGUGUGACUGUAGAAUAUAAGUCACCUCUGCUCUGGAAGAAUCCGAUGACAAAAAAAGUACUUAACAAAGUAAGAAGAAUUCCAACCUAUAGUCUACAUUGGGAUUGUCCUGGAUUACUUUUCCAGGUUCACCAGCGAAGAAAGUUAAGAUUGAUAACAUUUGAUCUCUUCAUUCAUCAUGUUCUACAGCCAGUCUCUUACUACUACGUGAAAAGCAAGAUUAUUGAGCAAGACCAAACUCUAGAAUCUGCAGGUCACGACCGACAUCGGCGAGAAUGCUGUAAAACGCAUCUUUGCCGAUAAAACGGACAUUUGGGGAAAACAAUUGGCUCUGGUGAUGAAUUACUUGCAGUGAAGGAAUCUAAUAUCUGACACUAAUGAAGCCCCCAUCAAAUGAACUGUCGCUGCAGGUUUAACAAAAAUGAAAUUCAAAAGCCCCUUCAUCACGAAUUAUACCAUAUGAGAACUAGGUACUAGGUGGGUGACGGAGAACCAAAUGCCACCGCCAGCUGGUAUUCCCUGGGUCUUUUACGUUUCGUCCCGACUGGCUGUGAAUGCAGGUGGAGCUGAAAUGGCCAUCUUUGCUCUUGCUCUUCUUACUUCCGGCGAAGGAGAUCAGACGCGAUUGAGCAACAUGCUCCGCCAUCCAGCCAAACAUCCAAAGGAAUGCGCUCAAUCUAAUACAGGAUUCUUUUGACAGCAGCUCUAACCUGUUAUUCGGAAUGAACGUCACACUUUGCCGUGUAAUUAUAUCAAUCCUAGCGCCAACAUGCACGGCAAAGUGGCAAUCAGGUUACGGCAGAAAAGGCAUGCAGGGCUGACCAGAAGCGUUCAUCGUGAGGAGUUCGUGACCGCGGGAGACAGAAAACCGGUCUUCAAAACAUGGAGCCAACCCCAAAUGGGCCUUCAGACGAGAACAUUACCAAAACAUCUCAGAUAGCAAGGUUACAGAGAACGAUUGGAGAAGGUAAGAAAUGUUGAGAAAGUAAUGAAAAUCUGAAUGCAUUUAUUUUAAGAAUAAUUCAGUAUAAAAGUAAUAUUCAAAAGUUCCACAUCAGGAGGAAAGUGGAUUAGCCAUUAAAAUAACCGCCGGCACUGCACGGCGGUGGAUCAGAUAUUUCGUAAUGCCAGCCAUUUCAAAUCUUGCACAAAUAGCCUUAUGCGCCAAUUGAAUUUAAAAUCACGGUAUCUAUUCACGGCUUGCAUAGCUGAGCAUUAUUCACUUAAUGUAUGUCCUCGAUCGCUCCUUGACGACAGGAAACAUGGCUUCCUCAAUGAAAUAAUGUUAUGCCCGAACAAGAAGUUGACGGAA